AAAGGGAAGCAAAAGCUUCCCUACUCAAUUUAUCUGGGUCAUGAAAAGCUAACAGCUCUAUUGUGUAAAGCCAUCUGACCUGUGCUUCUCUUCUGUUGUCUUCCUUCAAGGCAUAGAGUAAGCAAUUGAAGAGCUGGAUUGGAGGAGACAGCUGUGAGAUUCUCUGAGACUCCGUCUGACACUGAGCAGAGGCAUCUGGCACGGAAAGCAAGCAGGAAAAGGACAACCAGAAGGUCAGUCCAAAGGUACCCAAAGGUGAUAUGCAAGAGAAUGAGAAUGAAGGGCGGCUAUCUCCGUUAUCACCAACAGAAUUGGCCGUAAUAGAUGAAUUAUGUGCAAUCUUGGCAGAAGAAGCAGAUCACGGAAGCCUGGUUUGGGACCUUCCCGAAGGAUAUGAAAAUGCAAUGGAGCCACAUGGGAUAUCAGAAGGAGGAGCCCAGCAUGAGUACACAGCUGCCAGUUCACACCAAGGGAGUCACUUAAGCCCGAACACAGACCUUUGCCCAGAGUGUGGAGUGAUAGGUUGCUCAUUGACUGUGCAUUAAAGAACCACACAGGGGAGUAACCAUAUGCAUGUACAGCAUGUGGAUGAAGUUUUAGGGAUAUCGGGAGGUUUUGAAAACACCAAAGAAGCCACAAACCUAAUGACUAUGCCUUUUAAAGCUUAAAAGUUUUAUUCGGAGCAACCAAGAUGGAGAGCUCGUCCGUGAAGAUGCCCUACUGAAAUUCAAAGAACCAUAUGGGGAAAAGAACUUCAGAUGCUUACUCUGUAGCAGACCUUUGAUGAUCAGUUUGGUCUGGAGAAACAUGAGAGAAUGCACAAAGAAGAUGCCUCCUAACUGCUUGUAGUUUGAUAAGUGUUAGCGCAUGUCAUUUUAUAAUGAUGAAAUCCCUCAGAAAGAACUUCCCUCUGAAUGUCUCAAUGCAACCAUUGGGUGAUUGGCUGAGCCAGCUUUGAGUGUCUGAACUUUGGAAGGCAUUUGCACUGAUCAGGGCAGUUUAAAUAGUUGCAUUGUCUUUUACCUAAAUAUGCAUUUGCUGUGUACUGGAGUAUUUUAAUUGCAUAUUUUAUCUAGAGCAUUUCACUGGUAUCAAUACUGUAUUUUAUGGAAACAUGGGUAGAAACUCGAUCGAUGGUUUAUGCCACUGACUGAUAACCAUUAUUUAAAAUGAUAGGAUACUCCCAUAACACAGAAGCUGUCUGAAUGUUUAGCGUACAACGAAAGCCAGAUUAUACAGAGACAUUGUCCGGAAACCUGGCUAAAGGAAACCUGAACUCAUGUGGAGAAGAGACCUGGGGGGAGAGGGAUGUUUCGAAGGCUUCUGUUUUGGUGGGAUUGAGUGCCUGAAAUGUAAAGUGGCCAUAGCUGUGGCUUUUCAGACAUCUGAUGGGAAAGGGGGUAACUUUUGUAGCUUGUGUAGGUAUCAGAAUGGUGUUAAUAAUAAAAUAUUGUGUAUUUUUGGA